AAGUGAAUCACCCAGGGAUCUUGUUAAAAUGCAGAAUCUGAUCAAGUCAGGCAUGGGCCUGAUACUCCUUAGUUCUAACAAGCUCCCAGGUGAUACCAAU
rnacentral:pre_miRNA from 1 species